rnacentral:tRNA from 1 species
AGAAUGUGGACCUAAAAAUAGAA